AGACAAUGCCGGGGGCCACUUUAGGGCAUUUGUCGAGAUUACUAUCUUUCCUUGAAUUCGAAUGUAACCGGUUAUCUGAAAUAUAGUUCAACGGGUAAUGACUCACAUAUUGCUCUUUGAUACAGAGAGUCCGUCGGAGCUGCAGGCGGAUGGCCGCUAGGCUCAAUUGCAUGGCUCGGCCAGACGAGGCGUUUGGUCCAAAGGCCUAUGGUGCGGGAACUUCAAGUGCACGUGGCCCCACUUCCAGCAUACGGACACCGAUUCACUACGGUGCCGUAACCGCUACAACUCCAGGGCAUUCCGGUUCGAGAAGCCGUUCAAGGACCACUUCCAGGACUGGUUCACGUGCCUUGUCAAGGGGCAAAGCUAUCCAGUCAUCCGAAGGCAGUGAAGAGUCCGACCGCCAAGGCGACUCAGAAGAUGAGGACCCAAGCUUUCAGGUGCUUAGGAUGUCGCAGAUGUUUGAUGCUCCCCCAGGAACGUAGACUCAGGGUGAAUCAAGCCAGGCACCUCAGGAUGCACCCGCUUCUCCUCCGCGUCGCCGACAAAGGCGUUCUCGUGACCACAUCGAUGUUGGUAGCGCGAACGUGCUCCCAAAAGCUCCUGGAAGGCAACGGCGCCCCACCGACCCUUUUAGCCCUGCCGAGCGUGGACGACGCCGUAGAUGAAGAAGCACGGACACUUUGUUCUUAGAUGUAUUGUAAAAAUGCUACCUAGAACCUAUUUGUGCUUGUCAUGAACUAUUUAUGCUUCUCAUGAACUCUUUGUGUUUGACAUGGAUCACUUUAUGUUGUGAUGGAAAAGAUCCUUGUAAUGGACUACUGUAGCUUCUAAUGGGCUAUGUGCUUGUGUGGUGAUGGCUCUCUAUUUCUUUA